rnacentral:rRNA from 1 species
UCGGAUAAGAAGGCUGAAACUCGCCNCUUUGAAGUCGGAAUCGCUAGUAAUCGCAGAUCAGCAUGUUGCGGUGAAUACGUUCCCGGGUCUUGUACACACCGCCCGUCAAACCAUGAGAGUUGGCAACACCCGAAGUCGGUAGUCUAACCGCAAGGAGGACGCCGCCGAAGGUGGGGUCGAUGAUUAGGGUUAAGUCGUAACAAGGUAUC